ACAUUUCUAACAGGUUCCCAAAUGCAAGUUGAUGCUGCUGGUCUAGGAACACACCUUGUGAACCAGUAAAGUGAUAAACCUGCACUUGAGAAGGUUCAAAUUUCAUUUCACCCACCCUUUAUUGUGGCCCAAAUGGGACAGGAUGAGAGGAGAUGCUGGGCUUUGGUUAAAGAGCAGAGAUGGAGAAAAAGAUGGAGAGUGCAAGGCAGUUCCUUGGAAAUAGAGUGGAUACUGAGGGAACAUGAUGACACAGAAGAGGGAUGGCCUGAGGGACACAGCCGCGGCCAUGACUGUGGGUCUGUGAUUUUGAGUUGUGUAAAGAGAUCAAUGGUGAGUCUGACAGAUGGGAAUACGGGGAUUACAACCAGCCCCACGGUUCUGUUUAGAGUCCUGGAUGAAAGCCUAGAGUCUCCCUUCUAGAGCGCCUCAUCCCUCAGCCCUCUCCUUAGCCCCUCUCUUCUAACCUUCUAGGAUUAUUGCCAGACUCUGGGCCCCAGGCUUUCCCAAGCAGAACAGAGGCAGCUGCCUCAUAUCCUGGGUCAUCUCUCACUGGGGUUGCUCUGUGGACAAGAAGACCUGGUACUUUUUUCAUUUUCUUUCCAAGACUCCAGAUCAGGCACUUUGAGAAUGCUGUGAGGAGGCUCCUGACCUCAAUGCCAAACACCCUCUUGAGACUGAGCCGCCCUGCCAGGGGGGAGGUGCAGAACUUGAAUCUUAUUUUCUCUCAGCGGAGCGAGUCCAUAAAGAAAAUCCAAUUCAUCGAUGUCCAAGAGAACAUUACCAAGAUAGACGAGACACCAUGGGCAGUAUUUAAUUAUGAGCAGGCACAGCAAAUAGGAGGGACGCAAUAAAAAUGCUAAUCAGGGAGGAAAAAAAACAGACUUCGUUUUCGGCUAAGCUCAUCUCUUCCCCCUCCAUUUCCAGCCCCCAAAUGAGUGCCGCAGACCAGGUUCUGAAUGUGACUCUGUGACAGCUCACAGGUGUGGGCCACCUGCAGUCAGCUGGUCUCAGCCAGACUUGGCUGGACAGUUGGAAUCCAGCUCUGUACCAUGUAUGUCUCAUCCUCCCUCUGGGACCAAUGGGGAUGUCAAAAGCACCUGAAGAUGAGCAGAAUACAAAGCCUCUUAAAACCUAGGCUCAGAACUGUCACACUGUCACAUGGCCAGUGACAAAGCUAAGAAGAGGGAAAGCGACCACUCAUUUAUGGGAAGAACUGCAGAGUCACAGGGCAAGGGUCAUGAAUAGAGGGGGUGAAGAAAUUGGCCUAAUGACAAGUCUGCAGAACCCAGAAAGACGUCAGAAUUGUGCUUUCUCCCUUGAAGCUCUUGCAGAGGACUCCCCGUUCAUACCCCUUCUGCUUGGAAUGGAUGAGAUGAUGGUGGAUCUUCUGAAGAAGGACCCGGCCAACCCAGAGUAACUUGGCCUGAUGACUCCCUCUCCAUCUUUCCUGUGCUGGUUCAAAUGUGGGCACAGACAGGAUAGAAAGACAAAGAGUUUGCAGUAAGCCAAAUGAUUACUUCAGUCUCAUAGUGGUUAGGUCCUGAUGAGUUGUAGUUUUCAUGUCUGAAAUUUCCCCAGGAAAAUAAAGUGGCCAAAGGUAUAUACGACAAGGAGCGAAAAACAAACAUUGCUCCAAUUCGGGUCACGUGACCCAUGUUACUGCUGAACGGGAAGCGUGAACCAGCGGGUUGAGUAAUGCUGUGCCCAGCUUCAACGGCAGACCAUCAUGUGGAGCCGAGAUCUUGUAAAUGAUCUGAACAGAGAUUUCACAGAAGCUCAGUAAAAGAACUUGGCCUUGCUACAACCCUGGACUCUUCAAGCCAACAGAGGUCCAAAACACACUGUUGAGUUUCCAUCCGUGCAGAAUGGCUGCGAAUGGGGCUGUGGCGACAGCAACUCACAGUUUUCCAGAACUCCAUGCAUGAAACUCCUUUCCCAGCCCUGCAGCCUUCCCCAUCCCCCAAUUAAAUAAGCGUUUGUUGUUUUA